UCGGCCUCCCAAAGUGCUGGGAUUACAGGCAUGAGCCACCAUGCCCGGUUGAGUUUCUGUUUCUAUGGAGGAAAGCAAACAUGAACUGUUGGAGGAAAUCAACAUGAACUGUCGCUGGUCAAGCAUUGUACAAUCAUUCCAAAAACAACAACAACAAUAACUCAAAUCCCAGAUUGUUUUAUUUGAGCCACAGGUGAGUCUCUAAAUGAAGUUUAGAGACUGCAAAGUAGUUUAAAGUACUGCAAAGCUGAGUGUUUAAAAAAGCAUCGAUCUGGAAUCAGUGAGAGCAACAACCUGUAAUAGCUGAAGGCAGCAGAGAGUGACAUUCAAUUAAGUACUUUCAUUAAUCGUUUAUAAAAUUAAUCCUUAGAACUCGAUGAUACUGUAUUAAAAUGAAGUGCUGAUUAGGACCGACCCCGUGGCAGUUCCUUCAGGAAGUAAGGAAUACAUAAAAUUUUUCAUUUAGGCAAUGUUCCAGCUUCUAUUAAUGGGACUUGUACCUAGGAGGAUUCCUUACGGGAACAGCAAACAUAAAUAGAAGCAGGUGAUGACCGGACCCUGUGGUACAGUAGUUAAGAGAUGCAACAACCAUACCUCACUAAUUUUGACUAAUUAGAAAGAAAUUCAGAUUGAAUUUGCAAAGUCUGAUUAUACAAUAUUUAAUGUGAUUGUCCUACUUUUCCUUUUCGUGAUUAUACAAAUCAGUUUUUAAAUCUGACGUAGUUGAGUUUUUCAAGGCAUUGUAAAUGGUUUCUAUUCUAUCCAUUGAAUUUUACGUCUGUAACAGCUACAAUGUAAGAGUCAUUUAACAAUUUUUGAACACCUAUUAUAUGCCAACUACUGUGGUAGGCUCUUUACAUCCAUCAUUUAUUUCACAUUUAUACUAAUCCUUAGAUAGGUUUUAGUCCAAUUUUACUGAUUAAAAAAUAGGGCAACCCCACUAGAAAUGUCAGGACCAGAAUUUGAACCAAGUCCUUCCUGCGGCCCAAGUCCAUGCCCCUUCCAUUAUGUUGCAACAUCUUCCAUGAGUGUAAAAGUAAUAUAGGCCAAGGAUUCCACGUCUCAAUGUGGUAGGAAUUGUUGAUUCUUUCAUCUUUUUCUUAUUGCUUGUUUUAAAAAAAAUAUUAGCCAAGGUAAGGGAAUGAGUAGAACAAUAUCAGAAUAACUGAGGGUCUCCCUUAGGAGGUCCUAUUCAGUUUUGUAUUUAUGUUUAAUAUAAUCAACAACCCAACAAAUCAUAUUCAUUAUUAUCUUGGACAGUAUAUGUUCACUUACUACCAUUACUUUACUCAAAUGGAAACGGCAGCCUAGGCAUUAUCUGAAUGCCAUAACCCUUGUAAUGGUGGCAUCCUAAUUAAUGAGUUUUAAAAUGUUAUAAGCCAAAUUCUUUCCUCUUAAGUGUGCAGAUGUAUGUAGGAAAAGCUUAAAGCAUUAUUGUCAGCCUAAGGGUAGGGGUAGACCCGUUCCCUGAAAACACUAUUAAAAAGUACCCUUUUGUGAUUUGUUGUGGGUUAUAUCUGAUAAGGAAAAAGCAUUUCCUCACAUUGCCCAGGCAUUUCAUUAAAACUCAUCUGCUACUGGAGGAGUGAGUUGUUUCAAUGAGUAGAAGCAUAGACAACCUGGAGUGCUCUCAGCGUUCUUUAAUAAUAUUUCCUUAAAAAUUGUUAAAUUUUGUUUGUGGAAAAUGUAUGGAGUUUAACUUAGUCUCUGUAAAUAUGGCCUCCAUUGUGCUGGAAUAUGAACCCCUAGAUCUCAUAGAAUUCUUUUUCACACUUGUGUUCCUUGUGGUGCAAUAUCAAGAACAAUAGGUGAUACAUGAUUAUUAAGACAAAUUAAAGUUAUAAGCUAUAUAUAUAUAAAUCUAUAUAUAUGAAUAGAUUGAUAUACAUAUCAAUCAAUCAAGGAAAGGUGCAUAACUUCAAUUUUGUUACAUACAGAUGAGAAUAUUAUUAAAUGCUAUAUUAGUCUGUUCCCAUGCUGCUAAUCAAGACAUACUCGAGACUGCAUAAUUUAUAAAGAAAGAGGUUUAAUGGAUUCCCAGUUCCACAUGGCUGGAGAGGCCUCAAAAUCAUGGUAGAAGAUGAAGGAAGAGCAAAGGGACAUCUUACAUGGCGGCAGGCAAGAGGGAGCAUGUGCAGAGGAACUCCCCUUUAUUAAACCAUCAGAUAUUAUGAGACUUAUUCACUAUCACAAGAUCAGCCCUGGAAAAACCUACCUGCAUGAUUCAGUUACCUACCACAGGGUCCAUGUCAUGACAUGUAGGGAUUAUUACAAUUCAAGCUGUGAUUUGGGUGGGGACACAGAUCCAAAACAUAUCAGGUGCUUAUUCAUAUGUUUGUCUACAUAUCCAUCCUUUCAUGAUGGAUCCUUUCAUCAUAUGAUGGCAUCCAUUCAUAUGCCAUCUGCAUAUUCAUUCAUCGAAGAAAACUUCCAGUUAAAAAAAAUUGGAUAAUGUUUUUGAUUUAGUAAUAAGAAAAUUGCCUUAUUUUUCUUUGUUGUAAUGUAGUUUAUAAGCUCAAUAAAAUUUAAUUUUCAAAACAAGAUAAACUCUUACCUGAUUACUAAUGAUUAUAAAAAUUAGAUAGGAAAUAAUUACUGCUGAUUUCCUAAAAUAUGUCACAAUAACUUGAAGAUUGAAUUUCUAUUAAUUAUUUCAGUUGUAUAUAAAGAGUGCAUCACUUAAGAAGCAAAGAAUAAUAAUCUAUAAUUUCUUCCUACACCUCUGAAUCCCCAAUUUAAAACAACCAGAAGAAUAGGAGCUGCUUUUUGCAACAAUAAUUAUUACCCUAGUGAUAACAUGAGCACUGCUGUAUUCUUAUCCUUUAAAUAAAAAAACAAAUGUCAUUACAGAUUCUGGGAAAUGAGCUGCCGCUAUACCAAUGAGUAAAUUAUUUAGGAUACCACUUAUUUUGUGAGGCAUCUGUCAUUUUUUAAAUAUUUUUAUGGGGGUUGGGAAAGUGGCUGAGUAUUUUGCCUGAAGUUCAAAUGUAAGCCUCUCUACUCCUCUUCACAUUUGAGUUCAUAAGUAAUGAGAACAUCCUUAUUUUACUUUUCAGUACUGAACAGUAAAGUCAACAUGUGUUUACAGAAUACCUACAAAUUGUCCAACUAAUACUAAGCAUUUAAAAAAUACAGAGAUGAAAUUAGGACUAUUGCCUCCUAGAAGUUUUCCAUAUUGUUGGAAAGAUAAACUAUGCAAAAUAAAUGAAAUAUAAUGAUCUAAGUGUUUUUCCAUAUACUGUUGUGAUUUACAUGUGGUUAUAAAAUCUAACAUAGAAGUCUCUUUUUGAGAUAUUUUUGGUUAAAUUGCUCAUUCUUUUAAUAAGUGGCUCUUUAUUGAUGUGCACUUUGCUGGUUAUUAUUUGUCAAAUAAAGCAUGGAAAUUCCCCAAGUUAGGAGAAGGAGAAGAUGACUUUCUGAUAGCUUCAAGCUGGGCUGCUACUGGCUCUAUUGGAAAACAGUCUUCCAGAGGGCAGGAGCACAUAACUAACAUAGCAAAGUGACUUCUUUGCACAUAGUAUAUGUUGAAUUUGUGGUUGUUCAAGUAAAUUAAGACAGAAGUCAUUCAUGGAUUCAACAAAUAUUUAUUGACUUCCUGUUAUGUGCAAGGCACUACGCAUGAUGCAAAAAAUAAAAAAAAAAUCACUAGUCAAGCAAACAGACAGCACUCUUUGCUUUCAUGGCCCUUACAAUCUGAUAAUGGAGAUAGACAGAAAAUAUUUCAAAAAAUAAGUGAUAGGAAGAAAAAGAUUAGAUGGUAUGGAAGGGAAUAACACGAGACUGACUUAGAAGGUUUCCCUGAAGAAUUUAUAUUUAAAAUGAAACCUAAAGAACGAAUAAGUGUUAAGUAAGUGAAGAGUAAAAAGGCAAAACAUUAGCAGGUGUAAAAGCCAAAAAUGAAAAAGAACUGGAUAUAUUCACAGAAUUGAAAGAAGCAUAAGAAAAAAAAGUCAUAGUGGCUAUUGCAUAAGUCAGAAAGAAGCUCAAUGAGACAACACUUCAGGAAAAAUCAGAUGCAAGAGCUUACAGUCACAUAAACAUUUUUGGGAAUGUCUAGGGGACACACAAUAAAUAGCACCUCAUUCUUAUCUGAUUCUGGACAAACAUGGGGAAAUAAUAGGGAAAACAUGGAAGCCAAAACAUCUGUUUAGUGUGAGAGCCAAAUGGGCUCACACCCUAACCCCAAGAAUGAUAGACACUGUUAACCAUCCAUAAGAAGGGCUGGAGCAAAGAAAGGCUACCACAGUGAGGCAGGUGAAAAUAGGAGUGAGCAGAGAAGAGCAUGCCAGCUUAUUCUUCCCACACUACCACCCAGAUAUGUCUAUGUCUCUCCAUUCUUUCAAGAGUGGAGAAAAUAAAGGAGGAGGAGAGAGGCUCAGACUCAUACCAAACCUGAGCCCCUUCACAGGAUGGAAAAAAUGUUGGCAAAGAAACAUGGCAGAAAUAUCAUACAUUUUGGAUAUUCUAAAUCCAUAUUAAUGUUUUAAGGAAGAAAUACAUUAUCCAAUAUAUCAUUAAAAGAGUACUUCAAAGCCUCCAUGUAAAGGUGUCAAAAAGCAAAAAAGUCCAGGCACAGUGGCUCACACCUGUAAUCUUAGCACUUUGGGAGGCUGAGGUAAGAGGAUCGCUUGAGUCCAGGAGUUUGAGACCAGCCUGGACAACCUAGCAAGACCUUGUCUGAAAAUAUUAAUAAAAAAAUUACCCAGGUGUGGUGGCACACACCUGUAGUCCCAUAUGCUCAUGAGGCUGAGGCAGGAGGAUCACUUGAGCUCAAGAGUUUGAGGUGUCAGUGGGCUAUGAUUGUACUAUUGCACUCCAACCUGGGUGAUAGAGACUGAUUCUGUCUGAAAGAAAAGAAAGAGAAAGAAGGAAAGUAAAAGGAAGGACGGAAGGAAGGAAGGAAGCAAAGAAGGAAAAGGAAACGAGAAAAGAAAAAGAUGAGUGAAUAUUAUUGAGGACUAAGUCAUUUCAAAUUACCAAAAUUGAUGCAUAUUUACAUUUAACCUGGCUCCAGGGAAUAUUAUUUAUGACUAAAUCAUAUCAAGUCACUGUUAACAGUGCAUGCUCAUACUAAAUAUAGCAUUUGACGGUGGUAAACACACACAGACACACACACACAACCUAUAGAAUUAAUCACCUCAUCUAGCACAGAGGCAUUGACACAUAAAAAAUAAAGACCAUAGGUGUCUUAGUUCAUUCAGGAUUCUUUAACAAAAUACCAUAAGCUUGGUACCUUAUAAAUAACAGAAAAUUACUUCUCACAGUUUCUAGAGGCUGGGAAGUUCAAGAUCAAACUGGACUUGAUGUCCAAUGAGGACCAAUCUUCUUGCUGUAACCUAACAUGGUGGAAGGGGCUAGCUAGCUCUCUGCAGUUGGUGAAUAGUGUCCCCCCCUUUUUUUUUAAUAAGGGCACUUAUCCCCUUAUGGGGGCUCCGUCUUCAUUAUCUAGUCACCUCCUAAAGACCCCAUCUCCUGACACCAUCAGCUUGAAUGUUAGUAUUCAACACAUGGAAUUUCAGGGACACAAACAUUUAUACCUUAGCAACAGGAAUAAAAAUAAGCAAAUAUAUAUAUUUUUUACUAUGUGCUAAGCAAUGUUCUAAGUACUUUACAAAUAUCAACUUAUUUAAUCCAUUCAAUAAUCUAAUGAAAUACAUAUUGUGAUUUUUUUUUCAUCCUCACUUUACAGAUAACGCUUUUAACAUUAGAGGAAUGGAGAAUUUUGCCUAUGGUUGGACAGGUAGUAACUAGUAGAGGUAGGAUUUAUCUCCAGAGCUCAUGAUUUUAGCCACUUUGCUACAGAUGGAUGGGGUAAGGGUAGGAGCAUUUGAGGAGCAGUUUGCAUUUUUUGUCUUAUUUUUUUCUUUUACUGCUUUGGGUAGAAAGGAUUAGUCAUAAAGAAUAUACUGUAAGCUGUGUGUGGUGGCAUGCACAUUUAGUCAUAGCUACUCAGGAGGCCGGAAGAUCGCUUGAGCCCAGGAGUUAGAGGCUGCAGUGAGCUAUGAGUGCACCAGCCUGGGUGACAGGGCAAGACUCUGUCUCUAGAAGAAAAAAAAAGUUGAGGCUGCAGAAUAUACGGUGGCAGGUGAAAAUGUAUUUUGCUCUACACAUAUUUGCCUAAAACAUUUUGUACAAUAAUGUUAUUCAUUUAGAAAGCUCUCAUAAAGAGGUUAAAAAAUGUGGUGCCUGCAAUUUUUUUUUUCCUGGAGUCUCUGAAGUGUUAAAUGAAUCUCCUCAGUCAAUUGGCAUGGGGGAUGAUUAUGUGUAGACUGAAGUAAAAUAUCCUAACACAUAUUAUAUUAAAAUAGUCUUGUAUUUUACAAUCACCUGUCAACUUAUUUGCCUCUAUUAAUGCAGCAGUAACUAUAACAGACACAUGUUGAAGUAAUUAGUGUUUAAAUUGUCUCUCAAAACUGCUAUGUUUCCCCAUCACCCUCUAGAGGAGGUAGAGUUGGUAUCAUGCCUUGAAAGACAGCUGCUUCUAAGAACUAUUAAAUGGAGCUUUUUUUUUUUUAUUACAAUGCUCUCCAUGGAUGAGGAUGCUUUUGUACAAUUCACACAUGCUUUCCACAUUGUUCUGGAACAUCUGAGAAAGACACAUCAUUGAAACAACUUCCAUCCAUUGCAUGGGUAGAAAUUACUCUGGCUGCUAUGAAGAGAAAGAAUAUUCACUGAAAAUAUUUUGGAUGUCACUGGAUGCCCCUGUUGGAUGCUGCCCUGUGGAAGGAGCACUGUGUUUCAAAGCUGGGUGUAGUUGUAGAUGGUAAUUAAAGGCACAAAAGAGAUAAAGCUCUGAAGGACAAAUGAAUUGAAGAAGAUGCAGUGAUUAUGACAAAAGUACUGGAUGCCCAAUUCUAUGCUUCAACAAGUUCACAAUUCUACUUCUCAAGAUGAUAAUAGAGGGCAAUUUAAUUAAAAGAUAAUGGAAUAAGAAUGCUCCGGUAUCUUUAUAUGCCUUAAGAGCAUACAUUUUCCCCACAUAAAAGUCAACCCAGGAAUACUGCUUACCCCAAUUGAAGUAGUCUAUAAAUAUCACACAUUUUGGAUAAAGUAUAUUGAAACAAGAAUGGUAGAAAUGUUUUCCUAAAUUAUUUUCUCAGGUGGGCAGGCAGCAUUUUUCAUUUAAAAAUAAACUAUCCAAGUUAAAGGUAAAAGGA